UUGGCUCAGAACGAACGCUGGCGGCAUGCCUAACACAUGCAAGUCGAACGAAGGCUUCGGCCUUAGUGGCGCACGGGUGCGUAACGCGUGGGAAUCUGCCCUUGGGUUCGGAAUAACAGCGGGAAACUGCUGCUAAUACCGGAUGAUGUCGAUAAGACCAAAGAUUUAUCGCCUGAGGAUGAGCCCGCGUUGGAUUAGGUAGUUGGUGGGGUAAAGGCCUACCAAGCCGACGAUCCAUAGCUGGUCUGAGAGGAUGAUCAGCCACACUGGGACUGAGACACGGCCCCA
rnacentral:rRNA from 1 species